UGGGGAAUAUUGCACAAUGGGCGCAAGCCUGAUGGCAGCGACGCCGCGUGCGGGAUGGAGGCCUCGGUUGUAAACCGCUUUGUUCAAGGGCAAGGCACGGUCUUUGGCCGUGUUGAGUGGAUUGUUCGAAUAAGCACCGGCUAACUACGUGCC
rnacentral:rRNA from 1 species